rnacentral:sRNA from 1 species
GUCGGGUGUGGUGGUGCACACCUGUAAUCCCAGCAACUCAGAAGACUGAGACAGGAGGAUCAUAAAUUCCAAAGUAGCUUCAGCAACUUAGCAAGGCCCUAAGCACCUUAGUGAGACUCUGUCUCAA